rnacentral:rRNA from 1 species
ACUCCUACGGGAGGCAGCAGUGGGGAAUAUUGCACAAUGGGGGAACCCUGAUGCAGCCAUGCCGCGUGUGUGAAGAAGGCCUUCGGGUUGUAAAGACACUUUUCAGUAGGGAGGAAGGUAGUGGUAGUUAACACCUGCAUUAUUUGACGUUACCUACAGAAGAAGCACCGGCUAACUCCGUGCCAGCAGCCGCGGUAAUACGGAGGGUGCGAGCGUUAAUCGGAAUUACUGGGCGUAAAGCGCAUGCAGGCGGCUUGUUAAGUCAGAUGUGAAAGCCCGGGG